rnacentral:rRNA from 1 species
CGGCCUGGCAGUCUAUCAGCAAAUGAUUUUAGUUUGAACCCCCGAAACUCGGUGAGCUACUUCGAGACAGUCUUAAGAACGUACCCGUCUCUGUCGCAAAAGAGUGGGAAGAUCUCCAAGUAGGGGCAACAAACCUACCGCACCCAGAGAUAGCUGGUUACUCAAGAAAAGAAUUUAAGUUCAACCUAAAGUUUCUCGAUUAUACAAAAUAAAAACUUUAGAGCCACUCAAAUAAGGCACAGCUUAUUUGAAACAGGAUUCAACCUACACCAUCGGGUAAUUAUACUAAACAAGUAAUAAGUGGGCCUAAAAGCAGCCACCUACAAAAAGCGUUAAAGCUUAAUACCAAUUUUUACCUAAUAUCUUUACUCCCCUAGAACCCCUCACUAAUAUUGAGUAACUCCAUAAACUUAUGGAAGCUAUUAUGCUAGAACUAGUAACAAGAAAUAGAUUUUCUCCUAAAAUGUAAGCCUAAGCCACAAUAGACAAACUACUGGCAAUUAACGUAAAUGAAGACAUUAUAGUAACCUCAACAAGAAAACCCUACAAUGACAUGACGUCACCCUUACACUAGAACAUUAAAGGAAAGAUUAAAAGAAAAAGAAGGAACUCGGCAAACCUUAGCCCCGCCUGUUUUUAAAACACUUGUAGU